UAGUCAUUUCUCGUAGUGACCUGCGGAGGGACAUUA
rnacentral:rRNA from 1 species